GCAGAAGUGGCGGAAUUGGCAGACGCGCUAGGUUCAGGACCUAGUGGGGGCAACCUCAUGGGGGUUCAACUCCCCCCUUCUGCACCA
rnacentral:tRNA from 1 species